GAACCUUUGGCGCAGCGGUAGCGCGUAUGAUUCCAGAGUACGUGACUUCAAGUCACUGCGACGUGGUUCCAUAAGGUCGUCCGUUCAAUCCGGGCAAGGUUCA